CCCCAUUCCGAGGGGUGCCUGGCAGACGUCCGGGCUGAGAGAGUCCCUUUGAACCUGAUCCGGGUCAUGCCGGCGAAGGGACAGGACAAGUCGAUGCA
rnacentral:ncRNA from 2 species